rnacentral:rRNA from 1 species
GUGGGGAAUAUUGGACAAUGGGCGCAAGCCUGAUCCAGCCAUGCCGCGUGAGUGAUGAAGGCCCUAGGGUUGUAAAGCUCUUUCACCGGUGAAGAUAAUGACGGUAACCGGAGAAGAAGCCCCGGCUAACUUCGUGCCAGCAGCCGCGGUAAUACGAAGGGGGCUAGCGUUGUUCGGAUUUACUGGGCGUAAAGCGCACGUAGGCGGACUUUUAAGUCAGGGGUGAAAUCCCGGGGCUCAACCCCGGAACUGCCUUUGAUACUGGAAGUCUUGAGUAUGGUAGAGGUGAGUGGAAUUCCGAGUGUAGAGGUGAAAUUCGUAGAUAUUCGGAGGAACACCAGUGGCGAAGGCGGCUCACUGGACCAUUACUGACGCUGAGGUGCGAAAGCGUGGGGAGCAAACAGGAUUAGAAACCCUAGUAGUCC